AUUGAACGCUAGCGGGAUGCUUUACACAUGCAAGUCGAACGGCAGCGCGGACUUCGGUCUGGCGGCGAGUGGCGAACGGGUGAGUAAUGUAUCGGAACGUGCCCAGUAGCGGGGGAUAACUACGCGAAAGCGUAGCUAAUACCGCAUACGCCCUACGGGGGAAAGCAGGGGAUCGUAAGACCUUGCACUAUUGGAGCGGCCGAUAUCGGAUUAGCUAGUUGGUGAGGUAACGGCUCACCAAGGCGACGAUCCGUAGCUGGUUUGAGAGGACGACCAGCCACACUGGGACUGAGACACGGCCCAGACUCCUACGGGAGGCAGCAGUGGGGAAUUUUGGACAAUGGGGGCAACCCUGAUCCAGCCAUCCCGCGUGUGCGAUGAAGGCCUUCGGGCUGUAAAGCACUUUUGGCAGGAAAGAAACGUCGCGGGCUAAUACCCCGUGGAACUGACGGUACCUGCAGAAUAAGCACCGGCUAACUACGUG
rnacentral:rRNA from 1 species